GAGGAAAAGAAACUAACAAGGAUUCCCCUAGUAACGGCGAGUGAACCGGGAAAAGCUCAAAUUUGAAAUCUGGCUGUCUUCGAUAGUCCGAGUUGUAAUCUAUAGAAGCGUUUUCCGUGCUGAACUGUGUCUAAGUCCCUUGGAACAGGGUAUCAAAGAGGGUGAUAAUCCCGUACUUGACACAACAAUCAGUGCUCUGUGAUACGUUCUCUACGAGUCGAGUUGUUUGGGAAUGCAGCUCAAAAUGGGUGGUAAAUUCCAUCUAAAGCUAAAUAUUGGCGAGAGACCGAUAGCGAACAAGUACCGUGAGGGAAAGAUGAAAAGCACUUUGGAAAGAGAGUUAAACAGUACGUGAAAUUGUUGAAAGGGAAACGAUUGAAGUCAGUCGUGUUCAUUGGAUUCAGCUAGUUCUUCUAGUCUACUUCCUUUGAACGGGUCAACAUCAGUUUUGUCCGGUGGAUAAAGGAUUUAGGAAUGUAACUCCCUCGGGAGUGUUAUAGCCUAGGUUCACAUACACUGGGUGAGACUGAGGACUGCAGCUCGCCUUUUGGCCGGGGUUCGCCCACGUUCGAGCUUAGGAUGUUGACAUAAUGGCUUUAAACGACCCGUCUUG
rnacentral:rRNA from 1 species